GUCCCAUCCCAGACAGUUUUGCCAAUCUUUCAAGCCUUGAGCAUUUGGAUUUGGCAGUAAACAAUCUGGAAGGUAGUAUUCCUGAUGGGUUAUUUUUGUUGAAGAAUUUGACCAAUUUGUAUCUGUUUCGCAAUAAAUUGUCUGGGGAGAUCCCCCAGAAAGUAGAAGCAUUGAAUUUGGUUGAAAUUGAUCUUGCUAUGAACAACUUGACUGGCUCAAUACCAGAAGAGUUUGGCAAGUUACAGAAUUUGAAGCUUCUCAAUCUGUAUAGGAAUCAGUUAUCUGGUGAAAUACCCUCAAGUGUAGGCCUUAUUUCUACACUGAAAACUUUU
rnacentral:misc_RNA from 1 species